GUCACCUUUCCAAAACCAAUCUCUCUUUUUCUCUCUGAUCUCUAUCAUCGACCUCUGCAAUUUCGAUCUUCUUCGAAUGGAGUUUGAGUCCGAGAGUCGUGGCGGUGACAACAUUGGAGGUAGAGUUGGUGGUGCAGCUGCUGCUGCUACCAACAAAGAUGGCGACGGUAACGAGGAAGAUGAUUGAAGUUUAGAUGGUGACGGCAACGAGGAAGAUGAUUGAAGUUUAGGUUAUGAAUGAAUGGCAUUUGGUGUCCAGCAACGGUAGGGCAACUACGAUCUUUGGCAUUAUUCCAGAAACUCUGUUCUCUGUCUAUGUCAAUGGAGAGUGCUACUUAGUUGGGCACUCUCUCCCAAUAAAACCUUUGCUGGUUUAUAUACUACUGUCUUUGUGCUCGAACAUCAACAUCAAUCCAUCCUCUUUUGUUUAUA
rnacentral:lncRNA from 1 species